rnacentral:misc_RNA from 1 species
AAGUCGUAACAAGGUUUCCGUAGGUGAACCUGCGGAAGGAUCAUUAAAAACUUUUAUCCGGGAAUUCGUUUCGUCUUUCCGGAUUAUUUGUAUUCAAAUCCCACUCUUUAUAAAUAUAUCAAUUAUAUAAAACAAAAAAUAAAAAAGAAAACUUUCAACAACGGAUCUCUUGGCUCUC